rnacentral:rRNA from 1 species
UACGUAGGGGGCAAGCGUUGUCCGGAUUUACUGGGCGUAAAGAGCGUGUAGGCGGCCAUGCAGGUCCGUUGUGAAAACUGGAGGCUCAACCUUCAGACGUCGACGGAAACCGUAUGGCUAGAGUCCGGAAGAGGAGAGUGGAAUUCCUGGUGUAGCGGUGAAAUGCGCAGAUAUCAGGAAGAACACCAAUGGCGAAGGCAGCUCUCUGGGACGGUACUGACGCUGAGACGCGAAAGCGUGGGGAGCGAACAGG